UGCGAGGUCAUCUAAUGGUAGGAUAGCGCCCUUUGAAGGCGUUUAUGAUGGUUCGAAUCCAUCCCUCGCAUCCA
rnacentral:tRNA from 2 species